rnacentral:rRNA from 1 species
UACGGAGGGAGCUAGCGUUGUUCGGAAUUACUGGGCGUAAAGGGCUCGUAGGCGGCCAACUAAGUCCGACGUGAAAUCCCAAAGCUUAACUUUGGAACUGCGUCGGAUACUGGAUGGCUUGAAUUCGGGAGAGGGAUGCAGAAUUCCAGGUGUAGCGGUGAAAUGCGUAGAUAUCUGGAGGAAUACCGGUGGCGAAGGCGGCAUCCUGGACCGACAUUGACGCUGAUGAGCGAAAGCUAGGGGAGCAAACGGG